rnacentral:rRNA from 1 species
GAUGAACGCUGGCGGCGUGCCUAAUACAUGCAAGUCGAGCGAACGGACGAGAAGCUUGCUUUUCUGAUGUUAGCGGCGGACGGGUGAGUAACACGUGGAUAACCUACCUAUAAGACUGGGAUAACUUCGGGAAACCGGAGCUAAUACCGGAUAAUAUUUUGAACCGCAUGGUUCAAAAGUGAAAGACGGUCUUGCUGUCACUUAUAGAUGGAUCCGCGCUGCAUUAGCUAGUUGGUAAGGUAACGGCUUACCAAGGCAACGAUGCAUAGCCGACCUGAGAGGGUGAUCGGCCACACUGGAACUGAGACACGGUCCAGACUCCUACGGAAGGCAGCAGUAGGGAAUCUUCCGCAAUGGGCGAAAGCCUGACGGAGCAACGCCGCGUGAGUGAUGAAGGUCUUCGGAUCGUAAAACUCUGUUAUUAGGGAAGAACAUAUGUGUAAGUAACUGUGCACAUCUUGACGGUACCUAAUCAGAAAGCAACGGCUAACUACGUG